rnacentral:lncRNA from 1 species
AUUCAAACAGUUUAUUGCAAAACAGUGAUUACCUGGCGAAUUAGGAACGGAUCACGAGUUUCAAAUGCCAUAAAUUUGUUGAGAUUAAAUAGGAUAUUGAAUAUAUUUCCUGAGAGUUUACACCUUUUUAAGUCCCGCAAUGUAAAAUAUGUCUCAUUCUGCACAAAGAAAAAGUUUUAUGAAAUGCAGUUUAAGGGCAUGACUGAAUGCAUGAACUUUGAAGAGAACAAUGCAAUUCCUCCACAUUGCCUUUGGAUUCCACUGUUCCAGACAGGGGAUAAAAUGAAUUCACAGUUAUAUCCAGGAUGAUGAUACCUCUGGUCCAAUCAUAUCAAUCAUUUGGCAUAGUAUGUCCUCAAAAAGUACAGGUUCCUGUGCCAUGCACUCCAUACGAUGCAACUGCUCCUCAUAGAAAAACUGCAUCUCAUUGGUAGUUAAAAUACCAUUGCCAUCAAGAUCAAUGCACUUAAACCUGUAAAAAGUGUGACACGUUUCAGUACGUGAAAUAACAUAGUUUACCACAAACCAUACAUAAUAUGAGUUGCAGACAUGAUAUAAGCGCCCCAUACCCAUAACUUCAUGUUGGAAAUUUGGAGCAAAAUUGUGUACAAAAAAUCACACAUACUACUCAGAAAAACAUUUCCAUUAAAACGCAAUUGUUGGGACUUCGUUCACCCAUUUGCCAUCAAUGCCUAGAGACCAAAUAGCACAGAAUAGGGACUAUGAUAUUUAAACAUACAUUCGAAGGAUGGAACUGAUCACUUAUUAAAGCAACCCUCAGAUAAUAGAACAGUUACAGGCAAAACACAUCAAAACCGGGAGAACACAAUUACCAGUACUCAAGGCUAGGCUCGGAUGAUUUAUCUUCCUCUGACAAGAUGAAGUAAACAAAAUCCUCAUAACCCAUCUUUCCUUCGGUCAUGCUUGUGAAUUUCCUUGGGACCUUAGUUGGAGAAAAACCAAUGUAAGUGCACAGUAACCAACAUGAAUGCAAUCCAGCAUCUCAGCUGCCCAAUAUGAACCUGUAAUGGACUAACCUGUGAAAAGACUCUAUCAACUAUUCUAUAGGUCAAUGAAUGAUUUCCAUAUCUGAUAAGGUUCUCUUUGUCAAUCAAGAAAUCAUGAUCUGUGUCCAGCUCCCAAAAUUUGCAGUAGAUUACAUAAAAAUGCUCAUAUGAGAAAUAUCUGCAUCAGAUACAACAAAGUUACAAACUUAAAAAAAAUGUAAAAUAUUCUGUGUUUGCAACAUAUAGUAGGAUCAACUGAAGCCAUAGAAUUCCUGUGAGCCAUCACAACAACAUAAUGAAGGAGCUCAUGAAAGAACACAAUUCGUAAGGAGCUAAGAGCCAGUUCUUUUGUGGCUUAUUUGGGGCUGUGGAAAUAAGUUGCCCUCUACCCAGCUUAUUCUAGUAGCCCGACCUAAAAUUUUAUUUUAUAUGCCUAAUUAAGGGUUAACUAGUAGGCUUCUAAAAUAAAACUUUAAGUUAGGCUUUUAGAAUAAGCUGGGUAGGGGCAGCCUAUUUUCACAGCCCUAAAUAAGCCACAAAAGAACUGGCCCUAAAAAGCAUGUAACGGAAACCAUACUCUACUGAGAGAUCUUAGGAAAUAGAAAUAUACAUGCACAGAAGGGCAUCGAAGGAAUUUGUACAAUUCCAUACAUGAAUUACCUCAGUAUUUUGUUGAUAUCCUCUUCCUCAUCAAGUUGUUGCAUUGCAGCUACUAAAUUCCCACGUUUUAGCUCUCUGAGGGUAAGAUGACCAUUUCCAGAUCUAUUUAUGGAGUAGAAGAUUCUGUAUAUUACAGUCUCAGCUGAAAAACACAUUAAAACAUAAUAAGCAGAUGAAUGAGAUGCAGCAAAUUACCAGCAUUAGUUUGGUAUAUCCAUUCAUCACAAAAUCAAAAAGUAGUGUUAUUACUGACAAAAAAAAAGGUAUGCUCUACCUGCAAGUAACAGCUUGUCCUUGCAUAGCAAAAUCAUUUUCCUAUGUUACUGAAUACAAGAUAAUAACAGAUUGUUUCUUAAGGAAACAAAUACAAGUUCUUCAGAUAGACAGAAAGACAGACCAUAUUUUAGAUGUUAAUACAAAGAGUUCCGUAUCAACAAGUCUAUUGUAAAACAGACAAAUAUUGCAACAUUUAUACUCCCUCCGUACCACAAUAUAUGACGUUUUAGCNNNNNNNNNNNNNNNNNNNNNNNNNNNNNNNNNNNNNNNNNNNNNNNNNNNNNNNNNNNNNNNNNNNNNNNNNNNNNNNNNNNNNNNNNNNNNNNNNNNNNNNNNNNNNNNNNNNNNNNNNNNNNNNNNNNNNNNNNNNNNNNNNNNNNNNNNNNNNNNNNNNNNNNNNNNNNNNNNNNNNNNNNNNNNNNNNNNNNNNNNNNNNNNNNNNNNNNNNNNNNNNNNNNNNNNNNNNNNNNNNNNNNNNNNNNNNNNNNNNNNNNNNNNNNNNNNNNNNNNNNNNNNNNNNNNNNNNNNNNNNNNNNNNNNNNNNNNNNNNNNNNNNNNNNNNNNNNNNNNNNNNNNNNNNNNNNNNNNNNNNNNNNNNNNNNNNNNNNGCUAAAACGUCAUAUAUUAUGGGAUAGAGGUAGUAGAAGAUAAUAAAAGAGCCACACUUACGAUUCUUAACAUACAGAAAGACCAUGUUUUAGAUGUUGAUACGAAGAGUUCCAAAUGACGAUAUGUUUAUUGUGGAACACACUAGAAUUUCUAUAAUCAUACCUUGAGAUAGCAAACCCAUUCAGGUCUAACUUUCUAAUACCAAAGUGCGGGGGUGUCAGUCUACAACUGGGUACAGGACUUCUGUACUAACAUCUCAGGCUCAAUUUAAUUCUCAACGGAGGCCACCGCAAGCGCCGGUGCAUAGCGGACGGAUAAAGCGUGCUGAGAAUGUUAAGAGGGGUCGUGGUAGACCAAACUUGACAUGGGAGGAGUCCGUUAAGAGAGACCUGAAGGUUUGGAAUAUCGACAAAGACUUAGCCAUGGACAGGGGUGCGUGGAAGUUAGCUAUCCACGUUCCAGAGCCAUGACUUUGCUUCGAGAUCUUAUGGGUUUCAACUCUAGCCUACCCCAACUUGUUUGGGACUGAAAGGCUUGGUUGUUGUUGUUGUUGUUGUUGCGCAAUCAGAACUAUGAAGGAAUCAAUGCCUUAUUUUAUUUCCGUGUUAGGCCCUGUUAAUAAAUUAUAUUCCAUCUCUUUGACAUACACAGCUAAAAACGGGAUCUGUCUCAUUACUCAUUAGAUGCGGAGAACAUGACCAAAAAGGCUCAUAGAAAAAACAUAACAAGAAUUCGCAAAAGAAACCACUCUGCUAGGGAUCAUUUCUUCAUAUAAGAUACUAUCGUCAUUGGUUUUUGAAAGAACAGAUGACCCAGAAUGCACAUCUAAUGCACAAAUAUACAAAGAAUACUGGUGGUAGAGAUAACUACUAGGCGAGUUGAAUAACACAUAAUAGCAAUUACCGUAUCUGUCCUGAAACUCGGGAGUGCCUUGUAAAAACUCUAAACCUGGGUGAGUUGCCAGGAGUUCUUUUAGAACAGGCUUAAAAUCCUCCUGCGCAAAUUAUGGAGAAUUAGUGUUCCCUUCAAGAAAACAAACAGUAAUAUAGAAUCAUCAUCUUGUCCAGUUGGAGUCAUAUAUACAUGUCUACCAAGACCAAAACGAGGAAAGAAAUGCUGACCUGAGUGAGAUAACUGUAACCUGGCUUUCUUAAUAUUUCAAAUAUCUGGCUAGCUGUGUCCAUUGUUAUCUUAUUGUCAUUAAACCAGUAAUCGAUAAAUGCAUCCCUGAGUUUAAAUAAGAGAACACCCAUGUCAGAACUGAAAUAUAAAAUGUCGGUGUUAAUCAAGAACUGAAAUUGACAUCAAAACUGUGCAGCCAAAAUGCAACUACCGAUUGAGACAUGGCAUUCCAUAACAAUUGUUAAGUACACAUGAGACCAUGAAACACCAAAGAUGUGUUUGAUUAAAUGUUAUGUCACAAACGCUCUUAUAUUAUGGGACGAAGGGAGUACUAUCAUAGGGGGGGUGCAAUAAAUGAAACCUGACAUCCUAGUCCAUGCACACUGGAUGAAGAGGAAAACAGUGCCUAAGUAUUAUUAUAGCAAGGAUAAUGCAUUGGUGGAUAACCAUAUAUGAAGCAGGGUUAAAAAACAAGAUGAGCAAUUUCUGCUUGCUUCUGGUCUGCUUAAUUACACUGGACAAGGUAGUGUGUUUGUUCAACCUUGCACUAUAGUAGUUUGCAUUACUUAUCUCUCAAAAGCAGGAACGAUAACUAAGAUUUCUCAGAUUUCCAACACUGGUUGCGCAAUCAAAUGCUAAUUUUAAUAUCAAGUCAAAAUAUCUCAAAGAUUUCUCAGCACUUGAAACAGGUUAAUAUUCCAUAAUGAACUCAUGUUUGACCAAAUUUUGGCUACAGUUGGUAAGUCCCGUGUGCUAGCUGCAUGAAGUAUUUGUCAGUGCCCUCAAAAUAUGAUGGAACAACUAAGAUUCACUAUAUCAAAAUAUAGACCAACACUAGUGUAGCCAUGUGAGGUAUUGAAUAAACAGUGCACCUUGUUACAGUUCCAGAGCAAGCGGCGUCAAUCUUCUUGAAAAGAACACCAGAGAGGUACGAUGGCAACUUGCAUAUGUCUUUUAUAACUGGUCUGAAUUCUGAUAUGUGCAAAUAAGACGUUCGAAGUUAAGAAUGCAUUUCAAUGUGGACAAAACAAAUGAAAUCCUCAAAUAAGGUCACCUUGAAUCUGGAGCCCCUCCCCAGCAAAAAAAAGGUGAUCUAGUCUAGACAAACACUGCUCCCUCAAAUCUUUUGGUGGAGGGCGCCCAUGUUUGAAGUAAAACUGCAAACAUAUUAAAUACAGAACUAAGACUAACAAGCAAGACGCUUACAUAGUUAUAGUAGGAACAAAUAUACGUGAACAAUAACAAGCACAAAUGGGAAGCACCUGAGGUAUAACUUCUCUCACAGGUUCACUGACUAAUUUUAGAGGAGAUCCCAAGGACGAUGGUCCAGCACUAGAACCUCGUCUCAUAACACGGGGAGAGCCAGCUGUGCUCCUAGGAGAGAGUGGGGGGGCACUACCAGCAGGGAACAUUGACGGCAAAGAACUACUUGAAGCGGCAUUUGUGCUAGCAGAGCUCCCAGCAACAUUCAGUGUGGCACCGGCUUUUGCGUCUUCAAUCAAAGAUUUCACCUAGUAGUGAAGAAACCAAAUAUUAUAAGGAAUGGUACAUCCAACAGAAGUAUGUUGUAGAAACAAAUUUAUUGCUUAUUUACAAAACAAUGUCCAAUGCUUCUAAUUUACAAAAACAGUAGCAUCCAACUCCACAGAAUCAGUCAAUCAGAUAUAGAAAGGCUUAUAAUGACGAAGAAAGCAAAGUGUAUAAAACAUCAUGCUGUCACUUCAACAGAUAUCUAAGGAUAACAAAAACAGAAGAGCAAUCAAGCAGCACCAUUAAAGGCUUAUAAUGAUACAUAUAUGUAGAACCUAGCAGUAAGCACAGAUAAAUACUUCUCACCAAAUUACAAUGUGUUACUAAUAAAUUUAACUAACAAUGAUUUGUAUUCGUAUGCAUCACAUAGAAGGUAAACUCAGUGGCCAUUGAGUUCUAAUUAUAGGUGUACCACCUUAAGAAGUUAAGAGAUGUAAGAUAACAGAGUAGCCAAAGCCAAGAAAAGAGCACAUAACAAAAUUAGAAGUUCUAGUGCCUCGGAAGCCUAUUGUCACAGUUCCAAGUACAGUUGCACCACCUGUAAUUUUGAGAGUUUGACCGCUAUGCUUUAUUAGUUGGACUAGACUUGUCUAAAUCUUACAAAAAAAUCUUGGACUAAUCUGUUCAAUAUCUACCAAUACGGUUCCAAUAUUACACUUGCUGAUACAAGCACACAAGUCUUUUUUUUAAGUUAGCAGCAGUGCUGCUAGGAUUCCAUUAAGAAGAAGGUACCGAUGGCAAGUACAGAAUGGCCCAAGGACCCAAGAAACAACGAACUCGAAAAAAAAACACUAAAAGAGUGUAGCUGCAAGAUACGCGGCUACAAGAAACUAGUGAGCUCAAACUUUAUUUAAUGUCCCGUUAAUGAAGUAUAGAACAAACGUCAACAUACGUUCCAUAUUCCCAGAAGAGUGAGCUAUUUCAAGCAUAUACCAUAUAUACAGACAGGUUAAAAUUUGAAACAUCUGCUAUGUUGCUAUAUAUAUUAAGCAAUGCCUGAAAUACAAGAUGUAAGAAGCCAGCCCAUAUAGUAGAUCUAUAUUGUCCAAAUAAUCACACGUUAAAAAUCAAACAUAUCCCAAUACAUAUAUAGCACUACAUAGUAGUAACGGCAGCCUGGGGAGCCAGGAAUCCAGUCAAAUAAUCACACAUGGAAAAUCAAACAUAUCCAAUACAUGUAUAGCACUGCAUAGUUAUCACGGCAGCUUAGGGAGCGAGGAACCCCAUAUCGGUGACACUAGACAGUACCUUAGCUUAACCUAAUUAGCGCAUUACAACAUAUAUAACAAGGCGGAAAUGGAGAAUACAUGUCCCACUAGCCACUUGGUCCAAAACAUCAUCUGAAGACAAAAGAAUAUCAAAGCAUCCACUACCUACUCACAUGCUCAAUUGCCAACAGCAAAGCAGAGGGCGACGGAGCUAACAAGUGAGAUGCACAACAAGCAGCAGAGAAAACCAGCAAGAUGAAGGAGCUAAGAAAGCCCAAUGAGAGCUGUGUAUUCGCGAAGCGACAACACUGAGCGGGGAGGUGACGAUGCACGGUAGUUUUGAACUACAAAAGGCUAACGAUGAGGGGCGGUGGAGUCCCUGUGCCUCCUGGACUACUGCCAGUCAAGGCGAGCAGUUAUGUCAUCUGCUGACCUAUUUGAUAACAUGUUGUUUCCCGCAAAAAAGGUAGCAUGUCGUUGACUACUACGCUAUGCCCAACCAUAACACUCAAGACAACAUUCAACAUAACAAAGCAGAGAAAACAACGAAAUGUUAGUAGCAUCAUUUGGGAGAACAACAAUAAACACUGGAGUGGUAAAGCCUUGAGACCGUGUUAACACUACAGGUAACACCGCACACGAUAUUGUCAGCAUGAGUUCUUUUUUCUAAGGUUUCAUGUGUUUGACCAGCAAAGUAGGCAUCCCAUCAACAAGAGCUAUAUAUUCUAUGCUGCAUUAUAUCUACUGCUCUGCACAGGUAUGCAUCAAAUUAGCAGCCAAAAAGAGCUCAACAAAAUAUGCACCCCAAACAACAAUUAAACCUUCUCACAUGGAACCAGACAAUUCAAGCCAGAUCUCUAGCACAGUGCACCACUGCGAGAAUGUCCUAAGAAGAGUGAACUAUCAUUUUAAGUGAGCAUCGGCUCGAAGUAUAACACAAAUUGUUGUAGCAUAAAACAAAUAUCUUGAUAGCACUAGAUUUCAGUACAGCAUUCGAGUCCACGUCUCCUGAAAUCCAUCAUUCUUCUAAACACAUGCAACAUUGAUUAUCAUACCAACAUUCCUUUAUCUUUAAUAUAAUGAUAAAGCUGAUGAAUACGGUGAGGGCUCGUCUCAAAAACCAAUAGUAAGCACAUCAGUUCAAGAAGCCAAAAUUAGUACAGAUGGUACAUAUUCAUUCACGGCAACUGAGGAGCAGAAAGUAAGCUCCCCGAAGAAGCAGGCCAAGUACAUAUUUGCGCAAAAAUUACUACAAUCACACUCUCCCACAGAACCUUAGCCUUUGAUGUACCAGACCUCAUCGCUUUCUAUCCUCGGCUUAAGCUAGCACUCGUAAUACGAACAUGACAAUCUAAACCCAUGCAGAUCACUGCAGCAUAAGACGCCACCAAGGCAGAGCAUUCUAACAAACAUUUUUCAAGAGUUCCAACACGAGAUCACAAAAGGCCACGCAAAAUCAACGGACGAACCACGACAAUAUAGGAGCACCUCCAAAGGAGCAGGCGAAGGCAACAGGACGCGUGAGAGGUUACCAGCUUGGACGACUCAGGCAGCACGAGCCACUGGAAAUAGAGUGCCUCGGCUAUGCUUGAGUUCUCCCGGAGAGCGCCCGGCGCGAGCUCCGGCAGCUGCAGCAACUCCGGGUCAAGAGCCGACGCAUCCCUCCUCGCCGCUUCCACCUCCAUGCCGUCAACACCCUAGUGCCCUUCUCAUGCACCAAGCAAGGCCCCGAACCCUAGAUCUGUUCCCCGCGAGCGCGUCCAGAGGCUGGAGGACGCGGUGGCGCGGUGGCGCGGCGUGGGGUGAGUGACGAAUCGGGACUCGGCGGGGUUGGCGGCAGGCGGCUUAGGAGGAUCGGGGGUCGCCGGCGUCGAGAUCUGAGGCGAGGGCCGGGGGCGGGUGGAGGCGAAACCCUAGGCCG